rnacentral:rRNA from 1 species
UGAUAUUUACAAUAUUAUUUUUUAUUUUUGUAUAUUUAAUUCUUUAAUAGAAAUAAUUUUAUUGUAUUUUGUCUUAGUAUAUUUUGUAGAAUGGAUUUUUUUUAUUAUAGUUUAUUAGUAAUGUAAUUGGAUUAUGAAAUAUUAAUUUAAAUUAGGGAAAGUAAAUUUUAUUUAUUGUACCUUUUGUAUCAGGGUUUAUUAAAAUUUUAGUAUUUAUUUACUAUUCUCGAUUUAGGUUGAUCUACAAAUAAAUUAUAGUUAAUGUGUUAUAAUUAUUAUUAAUUUAUUUGUAGAAAUGAAAUGUUAUUCGUUUCCUAAGAUAUCUAGUUUCUUAAGAAAAAAUUUAAUUUUUUAUAUUUAGUGUUUUAAUUUAUUUUUUAAAUUUAAAGUAUUAAAUUAUUUAUUCUUUAGGGGAUAAGCUCUAAAGUAUAUAUAUCCUAUAAUUUAUGUAAUUUUAAAUAUAAUAAUAAGCUUUAAACCAGCUAUUUUAAGGAUUACGUUUUAGUUCAUUAUUAUUAGUUUUGAUUUUAUAAUUAUUUUAGGUUUUUAUUAGGAUGAUGAAUUUAAUAUUUAAAUUCUUGUAAUAAUGAUGGAAUUAGUAUAUUUAUUUUGUUUAUAAUAUUUUUAUUUAUUAAUUUAUUAUAAGGAAUUAGGCAAAUUGAUUUCCGCCUGUUUAUCAAAAACAUGUCCUCUUGAUGAUAUUUUGAGGUCUGGCCUGCUCACUGAAUAUUUUAAAGAGCCGCGGUAUUUUGACCGUGCAAAGGUAGCAUAAUCAUUAGUCUCUUAAUUAGAGGCUGGAAUGAAUGGCUUGACGAGAAAUCAACUGUCUCUUAAUAAAUUUUAAAAUUUAACUUUUGAGUCAAAAGGCUUAAAUUUUUCUUUAGGACGAGAAGACCCUAUAGAGCUUAACAUUUUAUUUAUAUAUAAUUUUAAGAUAGUCUUUUUAUAUUUAAUGAUAAUGUUUUGUUGGGGUGACAUGAAGAAUAAAUAAACUCUUCAUUAUAAAAUCAUUAAUUUAUGUUUUUUUUUGAUCCAUAAUUUGUGAUCAUAAGAUUAAGUUACCUUAGGGAUAACAGCGUAAUUGUUUUUGAGAGCUCAUAUCGACAAAGCAGAUUGCGACCUCGAUGUUGGAUUAAGAAAAGUUUUGGGUGCAGUAGCCCAAUGAUUAGGUCUGUUCGACCUUUAAAUUCUUACAUGAUCUGAGUUCAGACCGGCGUGAGCCAGGUCGGUUUCUAUCCUAAGAUUAUAUUAUUCAUAUUAGUACGAAAGGACCAUAUGGGUGAAAUAUUUUUUAAUAAAUUGAUUAAAAUUAAUUAUU